AACGAACGCUGGCGGCAUGCCUAACACAUGCAAGUCGAACGAGACCUUCGGGUCUAGUGGCGCACGGGUGCGUAACGCGUGGGAAUCUGCCCUUGGGUUCGGAACAACAGUUAGAAAUGACUGCUAAUACCGGAUGAUGACGUAAGUCCAAAGAUUUAUCGCCCAAGGAUGAGCCCGCGUAAGAUUAGGUAGUUGGUGAGGUAAAGGCUCACCAAGCCGACGAUCUUUAGCUGGUCUGAGAGGAUGAUCAGCCACACUGGGACUGAGACACGGCCCAGACUCCUACGGGAGGCAGCAGUGGGGAAUAUUGGACAAUGGGCGAAAGCCUGAUCCAGCAAUGCCGCGUGAGUGAUGAAGGCCUUAGGGUUGUAAAGCUCUUUUACCAGGGAUGAUAAUGACAGUACCUGGAGAAUAAGCUCCGGCUAACUCCGUGCCAGCCGCCGCAGUAA
rnacentral:rRNA from 1 species